rnacentral:rRNA from 1 species
UGUCUCAAAGAUUAAGCCAUGCAUGUCUAAGCAUAAACCGAAUAUGGUAAAGCCGCGAAUGGCUCAUUACAACAGCCAUAGUUUAUUGGAUCUUAGAGUCCUACUUGGAUACCUGUGGUAAUUCUAGAGCUAAUACACGCAAUCAAGCCCCAACCUGACGGGCGGGGCGCAUUUAUUAGAACAAAACCAAUUGGCUUCGGCCAUUAAUUGGUGAAUCUGAAUAACUACGCUGAUCGCACGGUCUCGUACCGGCGACGUAUCCUUCAAGUGUCUGCCUUAUCAACUUUCGAUGGUAGUUUACAUGACUACCAUGGUUGUAACGGGUAACGGAGAAUAAGGGUUCGACUCCGGAGAGGGAGCCUGAGAAACGGCUACCACAUCCAAGGAAGGCAGCAGGCGCGCAAAUUACCCACUCUCAGAACGAGGAGGUAGUGACGAAAAAUAACGAGACAGUUCUCUAUGAGGUCUGUCAUCGGAAUGGGUACAAUCUAAACCCUUUAACGAGGAUCUAUUGGAGGGCAAGUCUGGUGCCAGCAGCCGCGGUAAUUCCAGCUCCAAUAGCGUAUAUUAAAGUUGUUGCGGUUAAAAAGCUCGUAGUUGGAUCUGCGGUCACAGACACUGGUUUCCUCACGGAAUACUGGCUGUCUUGACCUACCUUACUGGUUUUCCCUUGGUGCUCUUUACUGAGUGCCCUGGGUGGCUAGUACGUUUACUUUGAAAAAAUUAGAGUGCUUAACGCAGGCUUUUGCCUGAAUAGUGGUGCAUGGAAUAAUGGAAUAGGACCUCGGUUCUAUUUUGUUGGUUUUCGGAGCACGAGGUAAUGAUUAAGAGGGACAGACGGGGGCAUUCGUACUGCUGCGUUAGAGGUGAAAUUCUUGGAUCGCAGCAUGACGAACAACUGCGAAAGCAUUUGCCAAGAAUGUUUUCAUUAAUCAAGAACGAUAGUUAGAGGUUCGAAGGCGAUUACAUAUUGCCCUAGUUCUAACCGUAAACGAUGCCAAGCUUCCGGGUGAAGUAUGGUUGCAAAUCCGAAACUUACAGGAAUUGACGGAAGGGCACCACCAGGAGUGGAGCCUGCGGCUUAAUUUGACUCACCACGGGAAAAAUCAUCCGGCCCGGACACUUAGGAUUGACAGAAGGAAAGCUUUUUCACGAUUCCGUGAAUUGAGUAAUAACAGGUCUGUGAUGCCC